UUAUAUUUGAGUAUUAGCAGAUCGAGGUCAAUAAUAUAUGGGUCAUGUCAGUAAAGGACAGAGAUGAUCUCAGUCAUAAUCUGAUCAUCGUUAGUGUUCAUGAUUCGCCAAGCUUGUCAUAUAGGAGACAAAGUCAUGGAUGCGCUGGAGCGUGCGUUAGUCAUGUUUGAACUUGGCAAAGUUUAAGGAUGAGCUCGUUAGAAUCUAGAGAUGUUAGAAAUCGAGGCGUGGAUACGAUCGUCCGACGAAAUGAAACUUGGUGAGAUCUGUCUGAUUUACUUUUUGUACACUAUAUUGUUCUAUAAUCUAUGACCAUGGGUCAUGGGUCACGUUUUAGUUUAUUUUCAGAGAGCGAGUAAUGGCGCAUAAGCCUAGGCAUUAGGGCCAGGACAUGGAGUAAAUACCUGUGUUCCAUCCCAGGAAGGACCAAGGACCAAGGGGUGGCAUUAACCUUCUUAGUUAGCAUCGUCACCCCCACCGAUUUUCACCGUAUUUAUUUUUCAUGAACUGAGCGGUUGGUACGAGCUGCCCCCACUCAUUGUCUUAAUUGCUGAAAUAAAAACGCUGCACAGUAAGCCUGGCUGCUUUAAUGUUUGUAAUGCAUCUAUGAUGUACUGCAAUUAUUGAUAAUGACACGAAAAAUUAUGGAAGUAGUCGAUUCUAUCAUUUUCCAGGAUUCUUUCAAUGAAUGGCUGUGUAUGUGUAGAUCAUUGGCCAUGUCGAUAUAGGUUUUUUAUACUUCAGAACUGCUCCAGGUAUACCUUAUAAGGCGUUGACACGUCGGCUAUUCUUGCUUUCCCGAAACGAGUCGAUAUAAGGCUGGUGUCUCGGCUAACCAUAUGCCAUAAAAGUCGAAGUAAUUAUUGAUUGAAUGAUUUAUCUUUAUUAUAGAGACUUUCAGCCUUUGGCUUGUUCGUCUCUACCACGAAGUAAGUUCAGCAAUGGCUCCUGAUUGUCUGUAUCUCACAAACGGAAGGAAGUGCAGUUCGCCAUCAAGCCGAACAAACAAUUCUGACGGUCGUCAAAAACCGUCGUUAGAUCCACCCCGCGCUACAUUCCCCGGUGGAAAGGACCUGAGAGCACGAACCCCGCACGUAGUCAAGCGUCAUGCGCAGGAUCCGAAGGUAAAGCGAUUUCAUUUCAUCGCGUUCGGCUGAAGCUCUCUAGGUGAAAGCCGUACGGAGGGAGGGUACGUUGAUCCGUGAACUCGAGGAGAAGGUCGAAACCCGGGAAAACGCUUCAAGAAAACCCUGCGCAGAUUAGUUGCUUCAUAAGCAGAUGGUCAUGGGUUCGAUCCCAGCCCCGGCACUUUCAUCAGUUGCUCUUUCCCCCUGAGACUAGCUGACACUGACCCUCUUCUGAGCCCAUGGCUCAAGUGAACCCGGAUACUUAAGCGCUGUACAAAGUGUAUGUAUUUACAGCUUCCAAAUGGAAUCGCUCACGCAGUGCCCUAGUGGACAAUAGAGCUGUAAAUUAGGUUAAGUGAUUGAAGAAUAAAAAAAAAAUACAGAUAAGUUGUUCAAA